rnacentral:rRNA from 1 species
UACGUAGGGUGCAAGCGUUGUCCAGAAUUAUUGGGCGGAAAGAGCUCGUAGGCGGUCUGUCACGUCGGCUGUGAAAUCCCGAGGCUCAACCUCGGGUCUGCAGUCGAUACGGGCAAACUAGAGUAUUGCAGGGGAGACUGGAAUUCCUGGUGUAGCGGUGAAAUGCGCAGAUAUCAGGAGGAACACCGGUGGCGAAGGCGGGUCUCUGGGCAAUAACUGACGCUGAGGAGCGAAAGCGUGGGGAGCGAACAGG